rnacentral:rRNA from 1 species
UUGCCUACGGGGCGCAGCAGUGGGGAAUAUUGCACAAUGGGGGAAACCCUGAUGCAGCGACGCCGCGUGAGUGAUGAAGUAUUUCGGUAUGUAAAGCUCUAUCAGCAGGGAAGAUAAUGACGGUACCUGACUAAGAAGCUCCGGCUAAAUACGUGCCAGCAGCCGCGGUAAUACGUAUGGAGCAAGCGUUAUCCGGAUUUACUGGGUGUAAAGGGAGCGCAGGCGGUGCGGCAAGUCUGAUGUGAAAGCCCGGGGCUCAACCCCGGGACUGCAUUGGAAACUACCGAACUAGAGUGUCGGAGAGG